rnacentral:rRNA from 1 species
AAUGCUGGUUGUUUGUUUAUUUUGUCAGGUUUAUAGUUUUUCAUGAUUUUCAUGGAGAGUUUGAUCCUGGCUCAGGACGAACGCUGGCGGCGUGCUUAACACAUGCAAGUCGAACGAUGACGGUGGUGCUUGCACCGCCUGAUUAGUGGCGAACGGGUGAGUAACACGUGAGUAACCUGCCCUCCACUUCGGGAUAACCUCGGGAAAUCGUGGCUAAUACCGGAUAUGAGCACUCAUCGCAUGGUGGGUGUUGGAAAGAUUUAUCGGUGGGGGAUGGACUCGCGGCCUAUCAGUUUGUUGGUGAGGUGAUGGCUCACCAAGACGAUGACGGGUAGCCGGCCUGAGAGGGCGACCGGCCACACUGGGACUGAGACACGGCCCAGACUCCUACGGGAGGCAGCAGUGGGGAAUAUUGCACAAUGGGCGAAAGCCUGAUGCAGCGACGCCGCGUGGGGGAUGACGGCCUUCGGGUUGUAAACCCCUUUCAGUAGGGAAGAAGCGAGAGUGACGGUACCUGCAGAAGAAGCGCCGGCUAACUACGUGCCAGCAGCCGCGGUAAUACGUAGGGCGCAAGCGUUGUCCGGAAUUAUUGGGCGUAAAGAGCUUGUAGGUGGCUUGUCGCGUCUGCCGUGAAAACCCGAGGCUCAACCUCGGGCGUGCGGUGGGUACGGGCAGGCUAGAGUGUGGUAGGGGAGACUGGAACUCCUGGUGUAGCGGUGAAAUGCGCAGAUAUCAGGAAGAACACCGAUGGCGAAGGCAGGUCUCUGGGCCAUUACUGACACUGAGAAGCGAAAGCAUGGGUAGCGAACAGGAUUAGAUACCCUGGUAGUCCAUGCCGUAAACGUUGGGCACUAGGUGUGGGGGACAUUCCACGUUUUCCGCGCCGUAGCUAACGCAUUAAGUGCCCCGCCUGGGGAGUACGGCCGCAAGGCUAAAACUCAAAGGAAUUGACGGGGGCCCGCACAAGCGGCGGAGCAUGCUGAUUAAUUCGAUGCAACGCGAAGAACCUUACCAAGGCUUGACAUGCACUGGACGGCUGCAGAGAUGUGGCUUUCUUUGGACUGGUGCACAGGUGGUGCAUGGUUGUCGUCAGCUCGUGUCGUGAGAUGUUGGGUUAAGUCCCGCAACGAGCGCAACCCUCGUUCUAUGUUGCCAGCACGUGAUGGUGGGGACUCAUAGGAGACUGCCGGGGUCAACUCGGAGGAAGGUGGGGACGACGUCAAAUCAUCAUGCCCCUUAUGUCUUGGGCUUCAAGCAUGCUACAAUGGUCGGUACAAUGGGUUGCGAAACUGUGAGGUGGAGCGAAUCCCAAAAAGCCGGCCUCAGUUCGGAUUGGGGUCUGCAACUCGACCCCAUGAAGUCGGAGUCGCUAGUAAUCGCAGAUCAGCAACGCUGCGGUGAAUACGUUCCCGGGCCUUGUACACACCGCCCGUCAAGUCACGAAAGUCGGUAACACCCGAAGCCAGUGGCCCAUCCUCGUGAGGGAGCUGUCUAAGGUGGGAUCGGUGAUUGGGACUAAGUCGUAACAAGGUAGCCGUACCGGAAGGUGCGGCUGGAUCACCUCCUUUCU